GCCUGGGUGGCUCACUUGGUAGAGCAUGUGACUCUUGAUCUCAGGGUCAUGAGUUCAAGCCCCAUGUUGGGUG
rnacentral:tRNA from 1 species